CUGGGCAGCACUGGUGCCCUGAAGGUCUCUCUCCUCCCCACCGGUCACAUACAGCCUCAGGAUGAGUACAUCUGGUCUAUUGGACUCCCACAGCUUCAAAAAAAGAUAGGAAGCCAUCAGUGUACACUUACGCCAUCAGUAGUGGGACUUAAGCAGUGAUGCAGUUUUAUGUGCAAGGUUUCUGUUGUAACAAGGAAAUCUGCAAAGUCCAAAGAACCUCUUAGCAAUGACGAUCAACUUUGGAUGGUUAAAGCACACCGUUAUCACUUUAAUCGAUGUACGUACGCCAUGUGUGGGAGUUGACACAUCUUGGCGUACCUGCCCAGGUUGUGCCUGGAAUUGGUCCACAUGCAGCUGAAGUUCCAUGACGUCGCAGGCGUGAA